rnacentral:rRNA from 1 species
UCUGGUUGAUCCUGCCAGUAGCAUAUGCUUUACCUGGAGAUUAAGCCAUGCAUGUCUAAGUAUAACUUUAUACGGCGAAACUGCGAAUGGCUCAUUAAAACAGUUAUAAUUUAUUUGAUAAUGGAUUUAUAUGGAUAACCGUUGGGAAACUACGGCUAAUACAUGCUUAAAGGCCGCGAGGUUGUAUUUAUUAGUUUUUCCAGUCUUAGACUGUGAGGAGUCAUAAUAACUGAUCGAAGCGCACUUGUGUGCGCUAAAUCUUUCAAGUAUCUGCCCUAUCAGAUUGUUGGUAGUGUAUUGGACUACCAUGUCGAUCACGGGUGACGGAGAAUUAGGGUUCGAUUCCGGAGAGGGAGCCUGAGAAACGGCUACCACAGCUACGGUAGGCAGCAGGUGCGUAAAUUACCCAAUCCUAAUUCAGGAGGGUAGUUACAGGAAGUUUGUGCAUUAGUAUUUAUACUAGACACAAAUGAAUACAUUUAAGCAUUGUGUGUUAGAUUGGAGGGCAAGUUUUGGUGCCAGCAGCCGCGGUAAUUCCAACUCCAAUAGUGUAUCUUAAUUUUGCUGCAGUUAAAAAGCUCGUAGUUGAAUUUCUGGCCGUUUGGGAGUCCCAAAAGACAACUAGACGGUCAUCCGCUUGGAGAGGCUUGGUUUAUGUUAAAGUUUACCCUGACGAACCAGCAUUUUACUUUGAAGAAAUUAGAGUGUUCCUGGCAGGCCUUGCUUGAAUAUGUUAGCAUGGAAUAAUGGAAUAAGACUUAGACUAUUCUACUGGUUGAUAGGAUAAGUAAUGAUUAACAGGGACAGUCGGGGGCAUUCAUACUCAGUGGCUAGAGGUGAAAUUCUUAGAUUCGCUGAAGAUGAACUAAUGCGAAAGCAUUUGCCAAGGAUGUUUUCAUUAAUCAGGAACGAAAGUUAGGGGAUCAAAGACGAUUAGAUACCGUCGUAGUCCUAGCCAUAAACUAUACCGACUAGGGAUUGGUGUGGGAAAACCACAUCAGCACCUAAUGAGAAAUCAAAGUCUUUGGGUUCUGGGGGGAGUAUGGUCGCAAGGCUGAAACUUAAAGGAAUUGACGGAAGGGCACCACCAGGAGUGGAGCCUGCGGCUCAAUUUGAUUCAACACGGGGAAACUUACCAGGGCAAGACCUUGAUAGGAUUGACAGAUUGAUAGCUUUUUCUUGAUUUGAGGGAUGGUGGUGCAUGGCCGUUCUUAGUUCGUGGAGUGAUUUGUCUGGUUAAUUCCCUUAACGAACGAGACCUUAACCUGCUAAACUAGACGCGGUUAUUAUUUAGCCGUUGUUCUUCUUAGAGGGACUAUGUUCACAAAUACAUGGAAGUUUGAGGCAAUAACAGGUCAG